rnacentral:tRNA from 1 species
UCCUCCUGUACUUUUAAAGGAUCUUAGUUAACCCGUUAGUCUUAGGAACUAAAACACUUGGUGCAA